UGGAUGAACAUUGUAUUACUGGCCAUGGAUGAACACAGUGGUACAGGCCGUGGAUGAACAGUGUUACAGGCAGUGGAUAAACAAGGUGUUUCAGGCCGUGGAUGAACACAGUGUUACAGGCAGUAGUUGAACACAUUGUUACAGGCCGUGGAUGAACACAGUGUUACAGGCAGUGGAUGAACACAGUGUUACAGGCAGUGGAUGAACACAGUGUUACGGGCAGUGGAUGACCACAAUGUUACGAGCAGUGGAUGAACACUGUAAAAGGCAUGGAUGAACACUGUAUUACUGGCCGUGGAUGAACACAGUGUUACAGGCAGUGGAUGAACACAGUGUUACAGGCAGUAGACGAACACAGUGUUACAGGCAGUAGAUGAACACGGUAUUACAGGCAUUGGAUGAAAACAGUGUUUCAGGCCGUGGAUGAACACAGUUUCACUGGCAGUGGAUGAACACAAUGUUACAGGCAGUGGAUGAACACUGUUAAAGGCUGUGGAUGAACACAGUAUAACAGGCAGUGGAUGAACACAGUGUUACAGGCCAUGGAUGAACACAGUGGUACAGGCCGUGGAUGAACAGUGUUACAGGCAGUGGAUGAACAAGGUGUUUCAGGCUGUGGAUGAACACGGUGUUACAGGCAGGAGAUGAACACAGUGUUACAGGCCGUGGAUGAACACAGUGUUACAGGCAGUGGAUGAACACAGUGUUUCAGGCAGUGGAUGAACACAGUGUUUCAGGCAGUGGAUUAACACAGUAUUACAGGCAGUGGAUGACCACAAUGUUACGGGCAGUGGAUGAACACAGUGUUUCAGGCAGUGGAUUAACACAGUAUUACAGGCAGUGGAUGACCACAAUGUUACGAGCAGUGGAUGAACACAGUGUUUCAG
ensembl:lncRNA